ACGUAUCAGAAGUGCGAAUGCUGACAUGAGUAACGAUAAUGGGGGUGAAAAACCCCCACGCCGGAAGACCAAGGGUUCCUGCGCAACGCUAAUCGGCGCAGGGUGAGUCGGCCCCUAAGGCGAGGCUGAGAAGCGUAGUCGAUGGGAAACAGGUUAAUAUUCCUGUACUUGUUUAUAUUGCGAUGGGGAGACGGAGAAAGCUAGGCCAGCAUGGCGAUGGUUGUCCAUGUUUAAGGUAGUAGGCUGAGCGUUUAGGCAAAUCCGGACGCUUAAGGCUGAGAACUGAUGACGAGAUUCUUUUUAAGAAUUGAAGUGGUCGAUGCUCUGCUUCCAGGAAAAUCCUCUAAGCUUCAGAUAUAAACGAACCGUACCCCAAACCGACACAGGAA
rnacentral:rRNA from 1 species